GCCUAGCCACAUUCUCCUACAAGGCCGGCUAAGGACGGCCACGUGAAGAGGUUAACCCAGGAGCCCUACAGCAAAAGGCUGAUCCCAGCCGGGGGCUCUCCACACCACUCGGAUCUGGUGCGCUUCCAACACCAACCGCGUCGCCUGGGUCAGUUUGUCCACGUUCCCUUGCUUCCAACGCCGUCUUACAUAAGGUUCUGGGAGACCCGCGCCGCGUCCGGACGCGCCUGGGAGGAGCUGCCACGCCACCGCCCCUUUGGGCUCCCGGCUCCAGCACCGCAGCAAACAAAGAACUUCGGCUGCAUCGCCCAGUGGCGCCCGGAUCCCUUCCCUCUGGACAGCCAGGACGCACGUCCGAGACGCUAGAGCCAGCCCCUGCAGGAGCUCGGGUUGACCAUUUCCAAGUGGAAAGAAUGGAAACCAUAAUAUCCUGAGGCUUAACUGCACUGCCAAACAAGUAAAAACCUGCCACACAGACCGUGGUGUUAAGGAAGAGGCAAGUUAAGUGUAAAGAGAAAAAACUCGUCCUAUUACCAGAAUCUCCCACAGAUUCCUCCUCAUCCUCAUCCUCCCCAACACUGCCUCAAGCUGCAAAGACCUCCUCACCAUUAACCUUCCUCUGGUGCAUGAAUUCUUGACAUUUGUUGACCCCUUUGGCAGUACUUCCCAUCCUAUGGAACUCUUCUCACAAUAAGGUGCUUGGAUUAUAAAAUAAGGUACAAAAUAUGAAUUGUAUUAAAAUGUAAAUAUCAACUUAUUUUUCAAGUUGUGACAUAGUACAUAGGUUUAUUAAUUCAUCAAAUAACAAGACGUACAAGAUCUAAUAUCUAUAUUAAGUUCAGUAAAAGUGUAGCAGGUUAUUUUGAGAUAUCUUCAAUAGCUGUAAUGAUAUACCAAAAUACCCAAUUUUUAUAGGUGAUAAAUUCACAUUUUCUGCUAAUUCCACUGUGAUCUGUUGCCUAGACUCAUAUUUAAAGGAAAUACUAAAUUUCAGUCACAGGAUAGUGACAAUGACAAUAUAAUUCUUUUUUCCAACUUAAGCUCACAGAUCCCAAGCAUUCUGUCCAUGGAUCCCUUGCAAGUCCAGGCACCCAGUUAAGAAGCUCUGAUCUAGGGUCAUGUCCCUCCAGAACAACCUCCACCUUGCCACCAGAUCUGAUGCUGUCACUCUUACCCUCAAAGCCUUCAAUGGCUCUCUCACUUCCCAGGACCCUGUCUUGUGCAUGGCACCAGUAGAUGUUUAGUAAAUAUGUGUUGAAUAUCUGAGUAAAUAAACCAAUGGAUGUAUAACUAAAUAAAUGAAAGAGAUCAAUAUGAAGAAGGAGGUAUGAAUAAUGCUAAGUUUCUAAUCUGGGUUAAUGUAGAAAACUGAAAAUGAAGAAUGAAGGUGUUCAAUAAAGUUGUAAAUUAAGUAGA